AGCGAACGCUGGCGGCAGGCCUAACACAUGCAAGUCGAACGGAUCCUUCGGGAUUAGUGGCGGACGGGUGAGUAACACGUGGGAGCGUGCCCUUUGGUUCGGAACAACUCAGGGAAACUUGAGCUAAUACCGGAUGUGCCCUUCGGGGGAAAGAUUUAUCGCCAUUGGAGCGGCCCGCGUCUGAUUAGCUAAUUGGUGAGGUAAAGGCUCACCAAGGCGACGAUCAGUAGCUGGUCUGAGAGGAUGAUCAGCCACAUUGGGACUGAGACACGGCCCAAACUCCUACGGGAGGCAGCAGUGGGGAAUCUUGCGCAAUGGGCGAAAGCCUGACGCAGCCAUGCCGCGUGAAUGAUGAAGGUCUUAGGAUUGUAAAAUUCUUUCACCGGGGACGAUAAUGACGGUACCCGGAGAAGAAGCCCCGGCUAACUUCGUGCCAGCCGCCGCCGUAAUAC
rnacentral:rRNA from 1 species